UCCUUGGUUAUCCAGUGGUUAAGACUCUGCACUUCCAAUGCAGGGGGUACAGGUUUGAUCCCUGGUUGGGGAA
rnacentral:tRNA from 1 species